GCCACUUGGUCGCAAACACUGGCCAAAAUUGGCGUUCAAAUUAGUUUUUUGCAUUUUUCACACACAAACAAAUAUUAGUGUUAAUAUUUGUUUGUGUGUGAAAAAUGAAAAAAACUAAUUUGAACGCCAAUUUUGGCCAGUGCUUGUGACUAAGUGGU